rnacentral:rRNA from 1 species
GACGAACGCUGGCGGCGUGCUUAACACAUGCAAGUCGAACGGAAAGGCCCUGCUUUUGUGGGGUGCUCGAGUGGCGAUCGGGUGCGUAACACGUGAGUAACCUGCCCUUGACUUUGGUAUAACUUCAGGAAACUGGGGCUACUACCGUAUAGGAUCUCCUGCUGCAUGGUGGGCGUUGGAACGUUUCGGCGGUUGGGGAUGGACUCGCGGCUUAUCAGCUUGUUGGUGGGGUAGUGGCUUACCAAGGCUUUGACGGGUAGCCGGCCUGAGAGGGUGACCGGCCACAUUGGGACUGAGAUACGGCCCAGACUCCUACGGGAGGCAGCAGUGGGGAAUAUUGCACAAUGGGCGGAAGCCUGAUGCAGCAACGCCGCGUGCGGGAUGACGGCCUUCGGGUUGUAAACCGCUUUCGCCUGUGACGAAGCGUAAGUGACGGUAAUGGGUAAAGAAGCACCGGCUAACUACGUG